GGUUGUAUGCAUGGUUUAAUUUACAUCCAUUUCAUUUGAAUUUUGUUGGCUAUUUGUCCCAUUGGUAAUCAUACCACAUCGCCGUAUUUUUAAAUUAAAUGAGUGUUUGAACCUAAUGUUCAGUGUUUGUCUUUUGUUGAUGUAGUUCAUAACUGAAUCUUUUUUUUUAAUAUAGAUUAGACCAUUAGUUUCCUGUUUAAAUGGUGUCUCACUAGUCAUUUUUAGGGCCCUUUAUGGCUUACUGUUCAUUG
rnacentral:lncRNA from 1 species